GCUGUUUCGCUGACGAGUGGCGGACGGGUGAGUAAUGUCUGGGAAACUGCCUGAUGGAGGGGGAUAACUACUGGAAACGGUAGCUAAUACCGCAUAACGUCGCAAGACCAAAGAGGGGGACCUUCGGGCCUCUUGCCAUCGGAUGUGCCCAGAUGGGAUUAGCUUGUUGGUGGGGUAACGGCUCACCAAGGCGACGAUCCCUAGCUGGUCUGAGAGGAUGACCAGCCACACUGGAACUGAGACACGGUCCAGACUCCUACGGGAGGCAGCAGUGGGGAAUAUUGCACAAUGGGCGCAAGCCUGAUGCAGCCAUGCCGCGUGUAUGAAGAAGGCCUUCGGGUUGUAAAGUACUUUCAGCGGGGAGGAAGGGAGUAAAGUUAAUACCUUUGCUCAUUGACGUUACCCGCAGAAGAAGCACCGGCUAACUCCGUGCCAGCAGCCGCGGUAAUACGGAGGGUGCAAGCGUUAAUCGGAAUUACUGGGCGUAAAGCGCACGCAGGCGGUUUGUUAAGUCAGAUGUGAAAUCCCCGGGCUCAACCUGGGAACUGCAUCUGAUACUGGCAAGCUUGAGUCUCGUAGAGGGGGGUAGAAUUCCAGGUGUAGCGGUGAAAUGCGUAGAGAUCUGGAGGAAUACCGGUGGCGAAGGCGGCC
rnacentral:rRNA from 1 species